UAUAAAACAACCUCCAUGAAAAAAGGACCAAAAAUCCUUAUAGAGAAAGACAUUUCUAAAAUUAAUAAAUUAAUUUUUAAUGAUCCGAUAUUCGAUCAACGAACCAAGUUACCCUGGGGAUAACAGCGCAAUCCACUUCAAGAGCUCCUAUCGACAAGUGGGUUUACGACCUCGAUGUUGGAUCAGGGUAUCCUAGUGGUGCAGCAGCUACUAACGGUUCGUUUGUUCAACGAUUAAAACCCU
rnacentral:rRNA from 1 species